rnacentral:rRNA from 1 species
CCAGCAAUUUGGGGGAAUGAAAAACGAAUAAGUCGUAUAAAGUUCUAGAUAAUGUACUGAUAAUGACUAUAUAUUAUCUAUAAGUCUUGACCAAAUUACGUGCCAGCAGUCGCGGUAAUACGUAAAAGACAAGUGUUAUUCAUCUUUAGCAGGUUUAAAGGGUACCUAGACUGGAAGUCAAGCCAUAGAAGGAACUAACUUCCUAGAGUUUGAUAUAUGAAGAUCGAAUUGCCUGAGGAGCAAUGGAAUGCGUUGAUACAGGUAGGACGGAUGGCGGCAAAUGCAAUCUUCUAUGUAAAAACUGACGUUCAGGGACGAAGCCUUGGGGAGCAAGAAGGAUUAGAUACCCUAGUAGUCCUUGGAGAAAAUUAUGAGUGCCAUARACUAGAAUCUAGUUUAUAAAUGAAAGUGUAAGCAUUCCACCUCAUGAGUAAAGCGGCAACGCCGGAAUUGAAAUCAUUAGACCGUAUCUGAAACCAGUAGUGAAGUAUGUUAUUUAAUUCGAUGAUCCGCGAAUAACCUUACCACCUCUUGAAUAUUUUUACAAGCGCUGCACGGCUGUCUUCAGUUAAUGUCGUGAGAUUAUGGUUAGUUCCAUUAAUUAACGAAAACCCUUGUUCUAUAUARUUUAAUCUUUUAUURAAUAAUUCCCUGGUUUUACGGAAAAGAUUAACGGGAUCCAGACCAGUCCUCAUGG